GACGUAGGGUGCGAGCGUUGUCCGGAUUUAUUGGGCGUAAAGAGCUCGUAGGCGGCUUGUUGCGUCGACUGUGAAAACCCGCGGCUUAACCGCGGGCUUGCAGUUGAUACGGGCAGGCUAGAGUUCGGUAGGGGAGACUGGAAUUCCUGGUGUAGCGGUGGAAUGCGCAGAUAUCAGGAGGAACACCGGUGGCGAAGGCGGGUCUCUGGGCAGUAACUGACGCUGAGGAGCGAAAGCGUGGGGAGCGAACAGG
rnacentral:rRNA from 1 species